AUGGAUGAUCUUGCUAAAGUGUUGGUGGGCACUAGGAAGCAUCUUGUUUUUCCUUUGGUGUAUCAACUUCUAAAGUUCGUGCAAAUUUUGACGGUUGCCACAACAUGAGUGGAGAGAUGCUUUUCAGCAAUGAAAACUAUCAAGAGUGUUUUGCGCAACAAAAUGGGUGUCGAGUUCUUGAAUGAGGGAUUGAUUUGCUAUCAGGCCUGUUUGCUAUGCGGGGAAAGAUAUAUUUUCUACUAUUACAAACGAUGA
rnacentral:rRNA from 1 species